rnacentral:rRNA from 1 species
AAGACCUUGCGCUUUUGGAGCGGCCGAUGUCUGAUUAGCUAGUUGGUGGGGUAAAGGCCUACCAAAGCUUCGAUCAGUAGCUGGUCUGAGAGGACGACCAGCCACACUGGGACUGAGACACGGCCCAGACUCCUACGGGAGGCAGCAGUGGGGAAUUUUGGACAAUGGGCGCAAGCCUGAUCCAGCCAUGCCGCGUGAGUGAAGAAGGCCUUCGGGUUGUAAAGCUCUUUCAGCCGGGAAGAAAAGYCCGCGACUAAUAAUCGCGGUUCAUGACGGUACCGGAAGAAGAAGCACCGGCUAACUACGUGCCAGCAGCCGCGGUAAUACGUAGGGUGCGAGCGUUAAUCGGAAUUACUGGGCGUAAAGGGUGCGCAGGCGGURUUGUAAGUCAGAUGUGAAAUCCCCGGGCUUAACCUGGGAACU